rfam:Firmicutes bacterium CAG:194 genomic scaffold, scf34
UAGCUACAAAUGCGUCUUUCUACUUGGCUAAGUACUGACAAUGGAUAUGGUGCCACGACAAGGACGUCGUGGCAGCGAAUCUGAGACAUGGAUGUCGAAUGUUCGCGUGCCAUAUCCAUGUUAGUACGUGCCUUAGUAGAAAAGCAUGCGUAGCGU